CACACUUACCAGAAGAUGACACGGUGAGGGGCGCCGGUCGCCAUCUUUAACCACGACGACGACAAAUUUCAAUCGUCAAGUUACGGCCAGGUCACGACCUUCCCAGAGUUUUUUGAAGUGGGAUAUCGCCACCUGGCGGCCACGUUAAGUAGCGUUCCUCCUCGCAAGACCAAUGACCGACAACACAAAGUCGAGCCGUCCAAACAAAAGACCAGUCGUGAACAUUUCGAAAACCCUCCGACGUCUGAAGACGCCCAAGGGGGUCGCCGCAGGCUGCAUCACUUGUUUGCAUUUCGCGUCGUUCGUGUUUGAGAACGUGGAGACGCAACGACGGCGAACGCUCCAAACGCGCAUUUCUUCAUGUUCCGACCACCGCCAGGAAGAAAGAGAAUUUUCAAGCUUUCAGAUUUAUUCUCCAGUUUUCCAGCGUGGGGAAAUAUAAAAAUUUUGGCAUCAUGUUCCUCCUCCUGCAGAAGCAAUAUAAAGACCAGAAAUAUGUUUUUAACCCCCAUUUUUGAAAAACCUCUUGGAGCCACUAGGGCGGCGCUAGAGAGUAACGGGUGGCCUCCCCCUGCUCGAAAAACCUGCUGAGUUUUUAUUUUAUUUUUAAACCCCCUGCAGUCACCAAAAGACCUGCAAGUUUCACAAGGGACCGCUUAGACAGCUUGGGGGCGGGGGGUGCAAGCCAUGUGACAUUAAUAAUGAAAUCUGAUCAUCAUUUUUAUGAAGCAUUUUAUUAACAGACUUUGAAGUGAUAUUCUGUGGAGUGCCACAAUCAUCAGCGUUCGAUUCCGCCCUCCCCCCAAGGGACAAAACGGGCAGCGGGGAUGCCUCUCAACUUCCCACCGAGCGGAACUUCUUCAACAGCGUAAACCGAGGGUUGGCGUUUUACCUGCUGGUCGUCCAUUUAUUGGGCCAAUAUCUUCGACCCCCGUUCAAAUAAGUGCAAUUCAUAACUUUGUCAAUGUUUAUUGAAGCAAAAGCGCCGAUUGUGUUUAUUCCAGUAGUGGUACGCAGGAAAAAAAAGGUAAAAAAAACAAAAAAAAAAAUCACUGAAUGCAAUACAAAUGAAAUUUAGGUGUACAAAAUACAAAUCAAAGAUAUCAGGAAGCGUGUCGCUCAGCAUACAAGCGAGUUACACGAAAAAAGUGCACUCGUGAUGUAUUUAACUUUGAAGUACAACACAUUGGCAAUCAACGGUUCAUUAUCCAUUUUUUUCCCAUAAUUCAAUUGUGUGAUAAUUGAUUGAUGAACCCCCACAAAAUUCAACAACGAAAGAAGAAACCAACCCGGCCGACUCAAAUCCUCGCAGAAGUGACAUCGGAGUCGUGAAACGUGAUUUGAAAAACGCCGGCGAGGAGGAGGAAGUCCUCAGAAGGAGGCGAGCCACUCGAGCGGCCACAAGUGCAGGAAGGACGGCAGAGCAGAUCGACGACGGGAACUCGGGCCCAAAUCCACGAUCCCCGAAAACGUUGGUCGGACUCACCGCGGACGGCCGCCGCGUCUCACUCGGCGGCGGGAUCGGAACCGGAGGAAAC